AGAGUUUGAUCCUGGCUCAGGAUGAACGCUAGCUACAGGCUUAACACAUGCAAGUCGAGGGGAAACGACAUCGAAAGCUUGCUUUUGAUGGGCGUCGACCGGCGCACGGGUGAGUAACGCGUAUCCAACCUGCCCAUCACUUGGGGAUAACCUUGCGAAAGUAAGACUAAUACCCAAUGAUAUCUCUAGAAGGCAUCUGAAAGAGAUUAAAGAUUUAUCGGUGAUGGAUGGGGAUGCGUCUGAUUAGCUUGUUGGCGGGGUAACGGCCACCAAAGCAACGAUCAGUAGGGGUUCUGAGAGGAAGGUCCCCCGACAUUGGAACUGACGACACGGUCCAAACGUCCUACGGAGGCA
rnacentral:rRNA from 1 species